rnacentral:lncRNA from 1 species
AUUCAUAGUCCAAUCACAAAUACCUACCCCAACUCUUCACUCCUGUAUUGGUAACCUCUGCUGCCUCUUCUCUCUUUUCUGUGUCUCUGAUUUUGCUUGUCCUGCUCUCUUUCCAGAACCAACUUGAAGAUGUCUUCAUUUUCUCUGUUUUAUCUCAGCUCUAGAUGUCACUAGAUCUAAACAUGUUUUGCACCCAAGAGGGUUUUUUCAUAGGUAGAGCCACAAUGGUCUUUCUGUCACAGUGUAGGAGAAAAUGUCCUGAUAAAAAUGUAGAAAGGAGACCCCGGCCAUGAUGACUAAGCAAAGUCCAGCCAACUGCCCCAACCACCCCUCCCCCACACACCUGCAUCUGGAAACUUGACAGUUCUCACUCUGGUCCACCACGCACGGACACAGAAGAACUAGCCCAUAAAAGACUUGUGAAACCCCUCUUCCGGGUUCAGACUCCAGAGAACCAAAUCCUCUGAGCCCACCGGUGUAAUAAACCUGAGUUCUCCAGCUCUCCGAGUGCUCCCUUGGUUUCUCUCCGGGUGAAAGAGCUGAUACGCUGCAGCCUCAGGGCUGCUGGAGUUGGUGCACUACAGCCACAGGGCUGUUGCCAGAGCUGAUACACUGCGGUGCAGGGCUGCCGGGCAGCUGCCAUAAUAUUUCUGGAGGCCCCAGUGAGAUUCCAACCAUUCUGGCCCCUUGAGCCACCAGAACGGAGGCAAGCCUGCCUGGGAGCAGGGGAGCCUCGAAGUGAACAAAGCAGCGCACCACCCCACAGUAUUCUGGGUCCUCCUUCGUGAGCAGCAUUCCUGACUCCUGGGUGACCAACCCGACCAGACUCAGUGGAGAGACGGACCCACUCACCAGGAAUGCAUCCGGACAAGGUAGGGCCCCGGGGCCAACCCCAGUCAGGUCCUGCCCCAGCGGGCAGAAGAGGGGACUGAUCACCCCCUGAGGGAGACUCUCCCGGUCUGAAGCUGUGUCUGACUGGAGCAGCAGUCCUCGUACUCCAGGCUGGAAGCAGAGGAACCUCUUGCUUGGGUGGAGCAACCGUCGGGCGUAGCCAAUUGAAAAUUGUGCUUGAUCGAGCUACUAGUUAGGGAGUGGAAGGCAUUGUGAUAACCUCUGAGUGUGUGUGAGAGUGAAUGAGCAGUCUGAUUCGCUUGCGCUUCAGGUUCAAGUUUGUGGCUCCAUGGUCUUAGUGGCUACAGAGUCUGAGUGGGUCCUAUCCUGCAGUUCCAUGGUGACCUCAUAUGGCUUAUGGCUGUAGUGGACUCUGAGGGUUCUCUUCCCUCCCUGCGAGUCCAGUCCAAGUUUGGGGCUUAUACAAACAAGCCAAUUGCUAAGAGGCACCUAAACUCCAGAGAGGGAGGCGGCGGACAUCCGAAUGGCCACCUUCUGAGAAGGGGGCACCCUCCCUUGUUUUGUCUGUGACACCGGCACGGGGCAGCUACAUGGGGUGGAGGGACCUAGCCCAGAAGCCCAUGAGCCAGAGACCCCUGUGCUCCCACCAUUUGGGCCAUAAAUUCCUCCAAGGAGAUAAUCUAACUUGACUUUGCCCCAGGGCUUCCAGGAACUCCCAGCCCAGAUUCUAAACCAGCUGUGGGACUGCUCAUUUUGUCAGUUCACUGGGGCCCAGGGUCUGAGUUAGGGAGACAAGUCUGUCAUCCCCGUCUCACUCCAGGGUAUAGGGAGGAUUGGGUACAAGGUCCCCUGUCCUUUGCCCAAACAUUAGAACUUGUCUCAGCGUGCCUUCCCGAGACCUGGGGCCUAGAUGGAUCAGAGACACUUGCAACAAAGUAGGUGCUCUCCCCGGCCAUAGAGUGAGCUGAGUGGGAGCUGUCUUGAUUUCAGGAGUGGCGGAGGCAACGCUAUUGGGGAUACCACCCGCAAGGUCAGAGAAGGUGUCAUGAUAUCAGGCCAUAGACGAGAUCCACAGAAAGACACCAGGGGUUAGCCCAAGUCUAAACCCACAGUCCUAGACGGUGUGAUCAAAGAUUUCAAAAAGGGAUUUUCUGAAGAUUAUGGUGUAAAACUAACCUGAUCUUUCAUCAUUUCCUUUGUUAUUACCUCAAAUGGACUUGUGGGGGCAAAGGAACCAGACCUCUAGAUGUUAAGACCACCCUGAGUUGUUACCAUGCCUGUGGGGAAAAAGGAGUUCUUAACUAGUAGUCAUCCAAUUUAGGCCAAGUGUUUAGCCUCAGAGCCUCGGCAUAGUCAGUUUUGCUUUUUCUAUUUACUUUCACCCUGGUUGGAGAAAUCGAUGGUUGGUUCAUCCAAUUUGCCUGUUAACUGUGGCUUAGAAACUUACCUAACAUUAACAGAGGACAUGUCAGAGUGAGCAUCUUAGGAUCUGAAAACUCAGGGCAGGGCCUGUAUGCCUGGGUUUUCUUUACCUCUGUCCAGAGACAGGCAAUGGGCAGGGACAAUAGGAAGAGAGGCUAUGCUGGUAAAGAGUGGUUAAUUCCAGUCAGCCUGAGGUUGGAUGGGACAUUUGACCACUAAUGUCUAGCUGA